GAUGAACGCUGGCGGCGUGCCUAAUACAUGCAAGUCGAGCGAACAGACGAGGAGCUUGCUCCUCUGACGUUAGCGGCGGACGGGUGAGUAACACGUGGAUAACCUACCUAUAAGACUGGGAUAACUUCGGGAAACCGGAGCUAAUACCGGAUAAUAUAUUGAACCGCAUUGUUCAAUAGUGAAAGACGGUUUUGCUGUCACUUAUAGAUGGAUCCGCGCCGCAUUAGCUAGUUGGUAAGGUAACGGCUUACCAAGGCAACGAUGCGUAGACGACCUGAGAGGGUGAUCGGCCACACUGGAACUGAGACACGGUCCAGACUCCUACGGGAGGCAGCAGUAGGGAAUCUUCCGCAAUGGGCGAAAGCCUGACGGAGCAACGCCGCGUGAGUGAUGAAGGUCUUCGGAUCGUAAAACUCUGUUAUUAGGGAAGAACAAAUGUGUAAGUAACUAUGCACGUCUUGACGGUACCUAAUCAGAAAGCCACGGCUAACUACGUG
rnacentral:rRNA from 1 species